GACGAACGCUGGCGGCGCGCCUAACACAUGCAAGUCGAACGGAGUCAAGAGGAGCUUGCUUUUCUUGACUUAGUGGCGAAUGGGUGAGUAACGCGUGAGUAACCUGCCCUGGAGUGGGGGACAACAGUUGGAAACGACUGCUAAUACCGCAUAAGCCCACGGAUCUGCAUGGAUCUGCGGGAAAAGGAUUUAUUCGCUCUAGGAUGGACUCGCGUCCAAUUAGCUAGUUGGUGAGGUAACGGCCCACCAAGGCGACGAUUGGUAGCCGGACUGAGAGGUUGAACGGCCACAUUGGGACUGAGACACGGCCCAGACUCCUACGGGAGGCAGCAGUGGGGGAUAUUGCACAAUGGGGGAAACCCUGAUGCAGCGACGCCGCGUGGAGGAAGAAGGUUUUCGGAUUGUAAACUCCUGUCGUUAGGGACGAUAAUGACGGUACCUAACAAGAAAGCACCAGCUAACUACGUG
rnacentral:rRNA from 1 species